rnacentral:sRNA from 1 species
AUUGGAAUUUUCCGAAAUCCCUUUUAUCCGAAGGAUGUGCAAACUGUGACUGUAUUCUUUGAGAAGCAAACUAGGCUCAUGAAGAUUGGUAUUGUCAGACGGAUUUUGCUAACUUUAGUAUCACCUUUUGCCAUGAUAGCAUUUCUUUCAUUGGACAGUUCCUUACAAGGGCUCCACUCAGUGUCUGUCUGUAUUGGAUUCACAAGAGCCUUUAGAAUGGUAUGGCAGAAUACAGAAAAUGCUUUAUUGGAGACAGUCAUUGUAUCAACAGUACACUUGAUCUCCAGUACAGACAUAUGGUGGAACAGAAGCCUGGAUACAGGAAUCAGACUCUUACUGUUUGCCGUGACUGUGCUUUUGACAUCAUGGACAGAGAAAAAACAACGUCGAAAAACAACUGCCACUUUAUGUAUACUCAACAUUGUCUUUUCUCCAUUCGUGUUGGUCAUCAUAGUUUUUUCUACACUACUCUCUUCUCCCUUACUCCCUCUUUUCACCCUUCCUGUGUUCUUGGUGGGGUUUCCCCGACCUAUUCAGAGUUGGCCAGGAGCAGCAGGCACCACAGCCUGUGUGUGUGCAGAUACAGUGUACUACUACCAAAUGGUGCCCAGGUUGACUGCUGUACUGCAGACUGCAAUGGCAGCUGGAAGUUUAGGUCUCCUCCUACCUGGAUCUCAUUACUUGGGCCGUUUUCAGGAUCGUUUAAUAUGGAUAAUGAUUCUGGAAUGUGGCUAUACUUACUGCUCUAUUAACAUUAAGGGGUUAGAAUUGCAGGAAACAUCCUGUCAUACUGCAGAAGCUCGCAGAGUUGAUGAAGUUUUUGAAGAUGCUUUUGAGCAAGAAUACACAAGAGUAUGUUCCCUUAAUGAACACUUUGGAAAUGUCUUGACACCCUGUACUGUUUUGCCUGUGAAAUUGUAUUCUGAUGCCAGGAAUGUUCUAUCAGGCAUAAUUGAUUCUCAUGAAAACUUAAAAGAAUUUAAAGGUGACCUCAUUAAAGUACUUGUGUGGAUACUUGUUCAAUACUGCUCCAAAAGGCCUGGCAUGAAAGAGAAUGUUCACAACACUGAAAAUAAAGGGAAAGCACCUCUAAUGUUGCCUGCUUUGAACACUUCGCCACCUCCCAAAUCCCCAGAAGACAUAGACAGUUUAAAUUCAGAAACUUUUAAUGACUGGUCUGAUGAUAAUAUUUUUGAUGAUGAGCCAACUAUCAAAAAAGUAAUAGAAGAAAAACAUCAGUUGAAAGAUUUGCCAGGUACAAAUUUGUUUAUUCCAGGAUCAGUAGAAUCACAGAGGGUUGGUGAGCAUUCUACAGGCACUGUUCCUGAAAACGAUCUUUACAAAGCAGUUCUAUUAGGAUACCCUGCUGUUGACAAAGGAAAACAAGAGGACAUGCCAUAUAUUCCUCUCAUGGAGUUCAGUUGUUCACAUUCUCACUUAGUAUGCUUACCCGCAGAGUGGAGGACUAGCUGUAUGCCCAGUUCCAAAAUGAAGGAGAUGAGCUCGUUAUUUCCAGAAGACUGGUACCAAUUUGUUCUAAGGCAGUUGGAAUGUUAUCAUUCAGAAGAGAAGGCCUCAAAUGUACUGGAAGAAAUUGCCAAGGACAAAGUUUUAAAAGACUUUUAUGUUCAUACAGUAAUGACUUGUUAUUUUAGUUUAUUUGGAAUAGACAAUAUGGCUCCUAGUCCUGGUCAUAUAUUGAGAGUUUACAGUGGUGUUUUGCCUUGGUCUGUUGCUUUGGACUGGCUCACAGAAAAGCCAGAACUGUUUCAACUAGCACUGAAAGCAUUCAGGUAUACUCUGAAACUAAUGAUUGAUAAAGCAAGUUUAGGUCCAAUAGAAGACUUUAGAGAACUGAUUAAGUACCUUGAAGAAUAUGAACGUGACUGGUACAUUGGUUUGGUAUCUGAUGAAAAGUGGAAGGAAGCAAUUUUACAAGAAAAGCCAUACUUGUUUUCUCUGGGGUAUGAUUCUAAUAUGGUAAGGUUAAAAAAUUUUUAAACUUAUAUAUACCAACUUUAAAGAAUGGAUAUAAGUUAUAAAGUAUUUGAACUAAGUGAUAAAUGAUAUAACGUUAUAGCUGUGAUAUAUUAUAGUUUUAAGGCAUUUGUAAUCAUGACUUUUUGGCUAAGCUAGAUGAACUCUAGAAUAGCUGAUUUCUCUACUUUUGCCAACUGAAGAGGAGCCAAUUAAAAAUGCUGUGUAGCCAUAGUGCAAUGCCUGACCUAUAAGAGAGCUAAGUAUGUGUAGUAUGCUAUAACGUAUUUCAUUAAAUGGAUUGUAUUCCUAUGUUCAAGUGUAUGAAUCAUCACUUGGAUUUGACUCCUAGAAAAAUUUAUCUGU